AAGUUGAAAUCCUUCAUGAGCAGUUAUACAAUGUACUAAGAAAGGAUGGCUAUAUCCUUGGAUUGUUUCUUGUAAAAAUGCUGAAAUGCACACAGAAAACAGUUUUCUCUAGGAAACAAAAAAUAGAAGAACAGUGCCAUUCCAGUGUUUUGUAAAGUGAGAUCUGAAAAGAGAAAUGCUGGGAAUUAUGAAAACGUUUCAAAAUGAAAAGUUGGAAAUGAAUUUGAACGAAACCUUUUGGCUCACGAAUGGCUCUCAGGUUUCUUGACCCCAUCUUCUCUGCCAGCUAUGCCUGACUGCUGGUAAAUGGCAGCCUGAAAGCCUUGAGGUCCAAGUGGUGAGGCAGAAACAGAUAUAUCAUGAGCAGGAUUGGGGUGUGAACAAAGUGAGCUCCAGCUUUGUUUCCUUUGCCAGCACUGCUGUGUGCAGCCGUUGGGGCUGUACAGAAUGUCUCAGUAUUGCUGUGGGACGAGCAAACAGCAGAAGGUUGAGCCUGCUGCAAGGUGGAGGUGAAGAAAUGCGCAUCCAUCCUUUUUUGCCUUCUUGUUGCAGAACUCACCAACAAGACCAUUCAGGACUGAAUUCAUUUCCAGAUCUCCUUUUGGCAGCUGGAUGA
rnacentral:lncRNA from 1 species